rnacentral:lncRNA from 1 species
CAAAAUCAAUUGGGUGAAAUGCAUAUCGGUACCUGCAAAUAUAAUAAAUUAUAAAUAUGUUCUUAUAAAGCUCAAUUUCCAUGUGUUGUUUUUAUCAAAGUUCUAAUAUUUUCAAAUACGCCUCUCUGGUUUGUUACCGUUGGAGAACUAUUUAUAUUUUAACAGUAAAUAAAUGAAAUAUCAAUUUUGCUAUCAUAAAAAUGUCCCUCCAAAAAUCACAAUAGUAUAAUAUAAGAGAGAUAAAAAUGACAAGUUAUCUCAUAAACUAAUUGGGUUAAGUAUUUAACCUAUGGUUAACUAAAAUUUUCUAAUAGAUUCUAACGGUAGGAAUAUAUUUAAAAAUACUAAGACUUUUAUAGUAACAAAAUAUAAAAGUUAAAUUUUAUAAAAAUAUAUUUAUAAUUUAUUAUAUUUACAGAAACUUAUAUGCAAUUAAUCUAAAUCAAUUCAAUACUUAGAAAAUAUAUAUCUAUCAAUUGGUCUAUCAGUUAAUAGAUUCAUGGUACCCGAAUUGUUCUGCCUUGACAUAAUUAGAAAUUUUACUGCAAAGACUUUUGUUGGCGACACACACGCGGCGCUAAUUCAUUAGCUAUCAUUGUUUUUCUUUUUCAGCUUACUUUUGGUUUUACCGACCGUCCCUAGAGCAAGUGACAAAGAGUUUGGUGGUUGGUAUCUGAGACCCAAGUUCGAAUCCUAGUUGAUUCACAUUUCUAGCUAAGUUUAUUUUCUAAAUAAAAUAAACGAAACAGAUAGCGUGCGACGUAUCUCUUCAAAAAAAAAAAAAAAAAA